CCUACGGGGGGCAGCAGUGAGGAAUAUUGGUCAAUGGGCUUACGCCUGAACCAGCCAAGUCGCGUGAGGGAAGACUGCCCUAUGGGUUGUAAACCCCUUUUGCCAGGGAGCAACGCCGGCCACGUGUAGCCGGACUGAGAGUACCUGAACAAAAAGCAUCGGCAAACUCCGUGCCAGCAGCCGCGGUAAUACGGAGGAUGCGAGCGUUAUCCGGAUUUAUGGGGUUUAAAGGGUGCGUAGGCGGAAUGCCAAGUCAGCGGUAAAAUCGCGGGGCUCAACCUCGCUCCGCCGUUGAAACUGGCGUUCUUGAGUGGGCGAGAGGUAUGCGGAAUGCGUGGUGUAGCGGUGAAAUGCAUAGAUAUCACGCAGAACUCCGAUUGCGAAGGCAGCAUGCCGGCGCGCGACUGACGCUGAGGCACGAAAGCGUGGGUAUCGAACAGGAUUAGAUACCCCUGUAGUC
rnacentral:rRNA from 1 species